CCCCGCCCCGCAGCUGACGCCCCGUCGACGCCGCCGCCCCUCUCCCCGUCGCGAGUCGCCACCCCAUCGGCCAUCGCGGGGACUCACGGCCCCGACCUCUCCGUCGCUGCCGCGAGUCACCGCCCGUCGGCCCGCCUGCCUUCAGAAGGGGUCUACGAAUUUACUGUUUUUAAAAAAGAAGGGGUUUCAAGGAGCUGGAGUGGUUCGCCGACAUGGACCUGUUCCACCACCAUCAUUCGCUCGCCGCCAAGAGGGGCAGAACCAUGCAGAGGUCCCAAAGCUCUUCAGCUCGCCGCAGCCCGCGAGCAACGCAAGCUUCUACAAGACAGUCGGUGUGCGCCAGAGCAAAAGGGCACGGGUGGAGCUGGCUAACGACGACGAGGACUACCUCAUCGUCCCUGAUCUUGGAGGAGAUAUCUGAAUUAAACAGUUCUUAACUACAAUAUAUAUGUGUGACGAUGUAGUAAUAUUCAUGCAUGUAUGCAAAGUAUAUACUAGCCUUUUGUUUAGUUGCCAAUGAACAUAUGAAACUGUAAUACAAUUCGAGGAAAUAAUUCCAGAACGAAAUGGGUUUCAGGCAUG